rnacentral:rRNA from 1 species
UUUCUUUAGGUGAACAAGCGGAAGGAUGAUUGUCGUAACAAGCACAGCAGAACGACCAGAGAACGUGUACCCCCGGCGCGGAAUGCGCCAAGGAAUACCCUAUUGAGAUCGCCAGUUACCCUUGCCCCGUUAUUGCGGAUCGCAAGGGCGGCGUUGGCUUCUUACUUAAUAAAAUACGACUCUCGGCAACGGAUAUCUCGGCUCUCGCAUCGAUGAAGAACGUAGCGAAAUGCGAUAAUUGGUGUGAAUUGCAGAAUCCCGUGAACCAUCGAGUCUUUGAACGCAAGUUGCGCCCGAAGCCGUUAGGCCGAGGGCACGUCUGCCUGGGCGUCACGCAUCGCGUCGCCCCCCUUGCUUGGCCCUUUGGCCGAAUACGGGGGAGCGGAUGAUGGCCUCCCGUGCACUAAUUGCGUGGUGCGGAUGGCCCAAAUGCGAGUCCCUGGCGGCGGAUGUCACGGCGAGUGGUGGUCGUACCUAGUGUGCAAUAUCUUCGCGUCGUGCCCCCGUCGUUCGGUGGCGAAUGACCCUAACUAGAGCCAUGUCAUAGUGGCUCUCCGACCGGACCCCAGGUCAGGCGGGAUUACCCGCUGAGUUUAA